AAACCAGCACCUCAAGUGGUCAGGAGGAUUAUUGGGCCUAAAGCAUCCGUAGCCUGUUCUGUAAGUUUUCGGUUAAAUCCAUUAGCUCAACUAAUGGGCCGCCGAAAAUACUGUAGAACUAGGGAGUGGGAGAGGUAGACGGUACUCCGUAGGAAGGGGUAAAAUCCUUUGAUCUAUGGAUGACCACCUGUGGCGAAGGCGGUCUACCAGAACACGUUCGACGGUGAGGGAUGAAAGCUGGGGGAGCAAACCGGAUUAGAAACCCGGGUAGUCC
rnacentral:rRNA from 1 species